UACGUAGGGUGCGAGCGUUGUCCGGAAUUACUGGGCGUAAAGAGCUCGUAGGUGGUUUGUCACGUCGUCUAUGAAAUUCCGGGGCUUAACCUCGGGCGUGCAGGCGAUACGGGCAAUACUUGAGUGCUGUAGGGGAGACUGGAAUUCCUAGUGUAGCGGUGAAAUGCGUAGAUAUCGGGAGGAACACCGGUGGCGAAGGCGGCUUUCUGGCCAGUUACUGACGCUCAUGCGCGAAAGCUGGGGUAGCGAACCGGAUUAGAUACCCGCGUAGUCCCU
rnacentral:rRNA from 1 species